rnacentral:rRNA from 1 species
CCUACGGGAGGCAGCAGUAAGGAAUAUUGGUCAAUGGACGAAAGUCUGAACCAGCCAUGCCGCGUGAAGGAUGAAGGCCCUCUGGGUUGUAAACUUCUUUUAUAGGGGACGAAAAAAGGGAAUUCUUUCCCACUUGACGGUACCCUAGGAAUAAGCACCGGCUAACUCCGUGCCAGCAGCCGCGGUAAUACGGAGGGUGCAAGCGUUAUCCGGAUUUACUGGGUUUAAAGGGUGCGUAGGUGGGCAGUUAAGUCAGUGGUGAAAUCUCCGAGCUUAACUCGGAAACUGCCAUUGAUACUAUCUGUCUUGAAUAUCCUGGAGGUGAGCGGAAUAUGUCAUGUAGCGGUGAAAUGCUUAGAUAUGACAUAGAACACCAAUUGCGAAGGCAGCUCACUACGGGAUUAUUGACACUGAGGCACGAAAGCGUGGGGAUCAAACAGGAUUAGAUACCCUGGUAGUCCACGCCCUAAACUAUGGAUACUCGACAUCAGCGAUACACUGUUGGUGUCUGAGCGAAAGCAUUAAGUAUCCCACCUGGAAGUACGAUCGCAAGAUUGAAACUCAAAGGAAUUGACGGCUGAGACGNGCGAGACGACACGAGGGAGGAGG